rnacentral:lncRNA from 1 species
CUCACCUUGGCUGCACACCUGUACACUGCGGCAGCACUCGUGGAAGGGCGGGGGGAGGCACUCAGGGUUGGCACUCGGGAGUAUGGGUGGGGUGAGGGGGCGUUACCUGGCGCACACUGACCUUGGACACUUAAAUGACUCAGGUGAUGAAAUAUGAGCUUCUAUUUUCAUUUUGGUUUAUUUCAACCCUGUAUUUGUAUUGGUUUGUGUGUUUUGUGUGUAUAUGUGUGUGUCUGUCCUCUUUUUAUUCGUUUAGUUGCAUUAGUUCACCUCUUUGUUUUAUUUAUUUAUUUAUUUUAGAUUUUACUUAACUGUAGUUCAUAUUCAGAUGUUGGUCGUGCUUAAGUAAUAAUAAUAAUAAUAAUAAUAAUAAUAAUAGUAGCUAAGAUGGCAUGAAUAAUUCCUUUAGUUUGUCCUUUAUACGUUUUCUGUUCCUCCCUUUCUCGUUCUAAUUGGGGACACUUAGGUAAUAUUAACACGCCCUAUUACUUUACUAUUGCCACUCUUUGCUUGCUGCUAGUGCCCUGAGUGGGUGUAGUGAUGCUGCAUAAGUAAUGAAAUAAUGAAAAGUGACUGGAGUGUCUUAAGUGAAUGAGAGUUGUAACAUAUGGUAGGAAUUUUUGUAUCGUUUGUGGCAUUUCGGGAAUUAUUUUGUUAGAUUGUGUGUUAUGCUGUUGUGUGUGUUGUGAUUUGAGUGACUUUUGUUGUGUUUUUGUGUGUGGUCAUUAGCAGUGUAUUGUAAAACGAGGGCUUUAGUGAUGCAUUGUAGAAAUACUUAUUAGAGAGAUAAUGACGAUGAAUAGGGAUGAAAAAACUAAAAAAAGAAUAAGAAGUGAUAACAAGAUAGAAACAAUAGCAUAUACACCUCAGGAAGACAACCACAACAAACACUUAAACCUUAAAUAGAUAAAAGUCCCAGAAACACAUGCAAACUCGCGUUGCCAUGGGUACCAACACUCGCGGCGCGGCCAUCUUGGACGCAGCACCGCCGAGUGGGAUUGAUUACUACGACAGAAAAAGCAGUAACUGUAACAUAAUUCCCGAGUAGUCAGCCUGUGAAUCGCUACCACAGGGCCCAUACAACUGCCCCAGGUGUCGAGAUAGACGGCAGACAACGGGAGGAUAGAGCAGAGGAGCGGGAGGAGGCGGGGAGCGAGAGGCGGUGGUGAUUCGGGAAGUGUUCCUCCGCGGGGGUCAGUGUGCGGGCGGCGGCGCGAGUGGAGGUGCGUGAGUGUCGCUGGGGCGGUGAGAUUUACCUGUGGACAUCGUUGUGGUGGAUAAUAUCACGCUGGCUACCGAGUGGAGGGGUGUGUGGCGUCUUCCAAGCUGGUAAACGAUGGGAAAUGCAGCCACUGCCAAGAAAGGCGACCCCGCAGAGAAUGGUAAGUGUUCUGUAAUGUGCACCUGUUGUCCACCUGCUCCACUGUUCCACCUGGUUGUGUGGUCAGCCUAAGGUACAGUGUUGUUUUGUAUCUGGUUAUUGCUAUUGUUACGCACCAGAAAGAGUGGACAGGGGCGAAAAAUAUUGGUAAAAAGUCGUUUCAUUCUUUCCAUCCUCUCACCUCCUAAAAAUGGACAGGUAUAGAAUAUUAGAGAGAUGUCAAUCUGUUUCUUUUUAAAAUGUAUCUUGUUACGUAUUUGGAAGCGUGGACAGACGCGAAAAGUAGUGAUAAAAAGUCGCUUCAGUCUUUCCCUCAAAAAAAAAAAAAAAAAAUCAGGUAUAGAAUAUUAGAGAGGAAUGUCAAUCUGUUUCUUUUUUUUUCACUUUUUCUUUCAUUUUUUUUAAGUGUCUUUACUCUCCGCUUCUGCAACUUAUUUUUCUUCUGUUUCUUACGACUAUCAGAUCAGAACCAUAAUUCUUCGAAAGGUGAAUGCCACACGUUUCCUUUACUUUUGCAUCUCGCCCAUAGCCCCUUCAGUACUGGGACACAUUUUUACCUUGAGAUUUGUGUGCGAAAUGACCAUUUUAUCGACAUUAGGAAGGGUAUACGGAGGUCAGAAGAUAAAUAGCCACAGUCUUCACUAUUUUAAUAACCUCACUCAAAGUUUCUGAAGCUGUAUAAAAUCGCGUCCCAGUACUAAAGGGGUCAACACACACUCAAAGAAAGAUGUAUAGAGUAAAGUUUCAUUCCCUUGUGAACUUGUACUCUUUACUUGGUCAUGGAGGGAAAAAGAUAGCAAAAAGUUGGUGUUGUAUUGAAAUGAUGUUGGAAUGGAAGGAUUUAAAUGAAGGAUCGUUUGUGAAGAGAGGAACUGAAGAACGAGUGAAUUAUAUUGAAUGUGUGGUAAAAUUCUCGUCAGUAGUGGUUAAUAGAGCAAAGAAAAUAGUGAAAUGGUGAUGUUGACUUACUGAAACUGCUAUAAUGAAAGAUGUGGAGGAGGAUUGUGAGAAGAAAUAAGAAUAAACGAAAGAAUUGAUGAAUUUUGCAGCGUCAAUUUGUCAGUAGUGAAUAGUGAAAGGGAGAAAAUAGAGAAAUGGUGGUGAUGUAUUGAAAUCAUGCAAGAAUAUCAAAAAAAUAAAUAAAGAUGUGUGAUUUUAUUUGCGUAAAGAGGAGAAACAGAGGGAAUGGCGUGAACUAUUGAAUGUCUCGUGAACUUUCCGUCAAUAAAUGCCAGUGUGUGGGAGGAAUGAGUGAAACAGUGGCAGUGACGUGAUGAAAUGAUGGAACAAUGAACUAAA